rnacentral:rRNA from 1 species
AGAUCGGCAUGUCUAGUAUAGCACUAUACGGUGAAACUGCGAAUGGCUCAUUAAAUCAGUUAUCGUUUAUUUGAUAGUACCUUACUACAUGGAUAACCGUGGUAAUUCUAGAGCUAAUACAUGCUAAAAACCCCGACUCACGAAGGGGUGUAUUUAUUAGAUAAAAAACCAAUGCCCUUUGGGCUUCAUGGUGAAUCAUAAUAACUUAACGAAUCGCAUGGCCUUGCGCCGGCGAUGGUUCAUUCAAAUUUCUGCCCUAUCAACUUUCGAUGGUAGGAUAGUGGCCUACCAUGGUAUCAACGGGUAACGGGGAAUUAGGGUUCUAUUCCGGAGAGGGAGCCUGAGAAACGGCUACCACAUCCAAGGAAGGCAGCAGGCGCGCAAAUUACCCAAUCCCGACACGGGGAGGUAGUGACAAUAAAUACUGAUACAGGGCUCUUUUGGGUCUUGUAAUUGGAAUGAGUACAAUUUAAAUACCUUAACGAGGAACAAUUGGAGGGCAAGUCUGGUGCCAGCAGCCGCGGUAAUUCCAGCUCCAAUAGCGUAUAUUAAAGUUGUUGCAGUUAAAAAGCUCGUAGUUGAACCUUGGGCCUGGCUGGCCGGUCCGCCUCACCGCGUGUACUGGUCCGGCCGGGCCUUUCCUUCUGGGGAACCGCAUGCCCUUCACUGGGCGUGUGUGGGAACCAGGACUUUUACUUUGAAAAAAUUAGAGUGUUCAAAGCAGGCCUUUGCUCGAAUACAUUAGCAUGGAAUAAUAGAAUAGGACGUGUGGUUCUAUUUUGUUGGUUUCUAGGACCGCCGUAAUGAUUAAUAGGGAUAGUCGGGGGCAUCCGUAUUCAAUUGUCAGAGGUGAAAUUCUUGGAUUUAUUGAAGACGAACUACUGCGAAAGCAUUUGCCAAGGAUGUUUUCAUUAAUCAGUGAACGAAAGUUAGGGGAUCGAAGACGAUCAGAUACCGUCGUAGUCUUAACCAUAAACUAUGCCGACUAGGGAUCGGGGGGGGUGUAUCAUUUUGACCUCCUCGGCACCUUACGAGAAAUCAAAGUCUUUGGGUUCUGGGGGGGGAGUUAUGGGUCGGCAAGGCUGAAACUUAAGA